AGUGGCAAACGGGUGAGUAACACGUAAACAACCUGCCUUCAGGAUGGGGACAACAGACGGAAACGACUGCUAAUACCGAAUACCUGAAGAGGGGUUUGCGUCUGAUUAGGUAGUUGGUGAGGUAACGGCCCACCAAGCCGACGAUCAGUAGCCGGUCUGAGAGGAUGAACGGCCACACUGGAACUGAGACACGGUCCAGACUCCUACGGGAGGCAGCAGUGGGGAAUCUUCCGCAAUGGGCGAAAGCCUGACGGAGCAACGCCGCGUGAGUGAUGACGGUCUUCGGGUUGUAAAGCUCUGUGAUCGGGGACGCGGUACCCGAAUAGCAAGCCACGGCUAACUACGUGCCAGCAGCCGCGGUAAUACGUAGGUGGCAAGCGUUGUCCGGAAUUAUUGGGCGUAAAGCGCGCGCAGGCGGUUCUUAAGUCCAUCUUAAAAGUGCGGGGCUUAACCCCGUGAUGGGAUGGAAACUGAGAGCUGGAGUAUCGGAGAGGAAAGUGGAAUUCCUAGUGUAGCGGUGAA
rnacentral:rRNA from 1 species